rnacentral:RNase_P_RNA from 1 species
GGAGUCAGCCAGACCGCCGCUGGGGCAAGCACCGAAAGGUGGCCUUGGAGGAAGGUCCGGACUGCAAAGAGCAGCGUAGCGGGUAACGCCCGUCCACCGCGAGGUGCGGAUCAGAGCCACAGAGACGAGCCGGUUCAGUCCGGAGUGAAACGCGGCAAUCUCUACGCGCAGCAACACCAAAUAGGCCAGCAUUGACGCGGCUCGCUGAGCUGGCGGGUAGGUGGCAUCGAGCCAGGUUGGCAACAACCCGGCCCAGAGGAAUGGCGGUCACGAUCGACAGCCGCAAGGGGGUCGAUCGCACAGAAUCCGGCCUAUCGGUUGACUCCACAC